rnacentral:lncRNA from 1 species
CUUUUCUUAUUUAGUGCCUUAUUUCAUUUCAUUACCAAAAUCUUAUUAAUACAUUUGUAAGGUCCAAAAAAUUACAAAAAGAGAAAUAAAUAAAAAUAAUUAUUGGGUUUCGACACAAUAUAAAUAUGGCAACUAUGGUAGUAUUUUUACUAGUAGUGUAAAAACUUAUUCUUCCGUGGAGGAUAAGUGUCCACGCACGUGCUUUCUAGCCAAUUGCCCUGAACUUGCGAGUCCAUCUACAUACUUUGUUAACACACCUAAACGUUCGAGUAUAAGUAGAGUCUGGACAAUCAGAAUCAUUUUUACAUGGAAUUAAUGCUGUAAUAAAAAAAAAGUUAUUAAUAUUGGGAUGAAAAGAUUGUGUGCAAAUUACAAACUAGUGAAGGAAGGAUAAAAAAAUAUAUUACCAUCGAUAUUUCUUGCAACAAAAAAUAAGAAAAGAAAUAAAAUCACAGCAUACGCAAAUGUGAGAGUUUUAGCCAUAUUUUAUUUCUCUUUGAAUGUAAAAAUAGAAUAUGAUUUGAUCAUUUUAUAGUGUGUAAAACGGAUAUUGUGCUAAAAAUAAU